rnacentral:lncRNA from 1 species
GUAAUUUGUAUAAUAUACACGUAUAAAAAGUGAAGUAAUCUGGAGAAAAAGACUGAUCUAUGGUAAGUUUGUUUCCCUUAUAUAACAAGUUAACAUCAACAAGAACUAUCUUUAAAAAAGAUAUCCGACGUAUUUAAAUUUGAGUAUAUGUUUAAAACUAUCAUUUCGAUAACCUUAAGAGGCACAAAGAUACCAUUUAAAUAACGUUUUUUCUGUUUAUGUUCAGUAUUCUCGGUCCUCAUAUCUUUCGGUUUACAUUCACCAAAACCCCGCGGAAAUCUCACAUGCGUAGGUGCGUUCUAAAAGUCAUGUACGUUCGUACAACAAAGUUUACAUUAAAUAUUAUGAUUGUCCCGAAUAAACAGCUGUCACAGAUGCAAAGAGCUAUUGGAGAAACAAUUAUUUUAAUAAAAAUAUAAAUCUUUGUAAGAUCUAGUUCAAAUAUUUAUAGUUUUUCACUUGCUUUUCAUCACGAUAUAAUUAACGAGACGUUUUUUCAAACACAACCAAAUCACACACCAUGACAGCAUUUUGUCCAAUCACAGAAACGAUUUUCGAGCAUGCGUAUUCUGUUGCCAUAUAUAGUUAAGCGUCCUUAAGUUCAAAGGGCACAAACCGAAACUAAUACCGACUACGUCGGAAAAAUAUUUAAAAUAAAUAACCUAUUCUAUUCCCCCUAUGCCAAAAAGGGGGUAUUACAGUUAGUUGGACCACUGACAAAUUAAAGAUAUUCAAUUAGUUUUAAGUUCGUACCUUAAUUCAGACGGUUACAUAUCGUGAAACUUAUUGAUCAUUUUCUUUAAUAAGCAAAGUUGAAGUUAAGUUCAAAGAGUACAAAAAUAUCUAAUAUCAUUAAUGUAUUCUUCCAAAUCAGCACCUGCUUCAGUUCUACUCGCAAAAGCCUGUAACAUGUAGGUUUCACUAUUUCCCGUUAGAAUACGCAGUUCUUUACAUGUGCUUUGGUUGCCAAUGGAACAACUAACCUUUUAACCAACCUACAAAAGAUCCGAAAGAGUCUUCUGAAUGCAUCAAAAAUUUGGGAAUAACUCGAUGUUACAACAGAACCAGCACAACCCUUUCAAAUAGGAACAAGACAUUUGGUAUGACAUGUUUGAUGGAGGAACUCCUAUCAAUUCAUUUGUGAGAAACCCGC